rnacentral:lncRNA from 1 species
UUGCAAAUUUGUAGAUUUUUCAGAAUGGAACUAACCAAAACCCUUCAUUUUGUUGCAGCUGGGGCUCACUGCCCCUGGGGCAGUGAGCCAGUAAUUC